rnacentral:misc_RNA from 1 species
GGAAGGAUCAUUAGAAAGUUUCUUGAAGGAAGGACGCCCGCGCGUUAGGGUCCACCCCCAGCAAUAAAGUUACCCGUGCAAUCCACUCCAGAGAACGGGGAGUACCAGAAGGGUGCCAGUGUGGCGGGGUAGUAAUCGGCGACUCCCCAACUUUUACGAACCUCAGUCCGAGGGUUUGCAAUUUGGGCACAGAGGGGAGGGUGAGACCCUCCGAGGGCGUCCAGCUUCGAAAUCGAGAACAAAACCCCCCGUGUACCUCUUCCAGCCUUUGCUUUCCCGCGCUUCCGGGCGCGGGCUCCUUCCAACCAUUCCGGAACAGAAGUCUGACACGAGAAAAGACGAUUAAAAGUUAAAACUUUCAACAACGGAUCUCUUGGUUCUCGCAUCGAUGAAGAACGCAGCGAAAUGCGAUAAGUAGUGUGAAUUGCAGAAUUCAGUGAAUCAUCGAAUCUUUGAACGCACAUUGCGCCCUCUGGCAUUCCGGAGGGCAUGCCCGUUCGAGCGUCAUAAAAACCCCCAUCGAGCGAUAUCGCGCUUGGUCAUGGGCUCGGGUCCCCGCGUAGCGUGCCGAAUGGCCGGGUGGUGUAACUGGGCGCCGGUAGUAGGUCGCGGAUCGGAUCGAAUAGGUGAACGCCUCUAACCUACCGAUCCUCGGCCGAACCUUGUGAGUUUGCCAAUGGGUCGUUGGGAUCGGGUCGAAGGGCGAAAGCCUCAGAACCGUCCCGCGGCCGAAUGCCAUCCCACAUCAUCGCCCCGCGCCCGACGGAGCUCGAUCGUGUAACCGGACGCCGGUAGUAGGCCGCGGAUCGGAUCGAAUAGGUGAACGUCUCUAACCUACAGAUCCGCGGACGAACCUUGCGUGUUGCCAAUGGGCCGCCGGGAUCGGGUCGAAGGGUGAAAGCCUCAGAACCGGUCCCGCGGCGAAUGCCGUUCCGCAUCGUGAUCAACCCAGCUCCCGACGGCCGGCUGCGGCGCGUGGUGGGUCCCCCGUCCGAAUAGCAUUGCGCGGAGACUGGCGAGUGAAGCCGUCCAGUGCGUUGAAGAAGUGAUAAGGCCAACCCCCCGAUUGCUUCUCCGCCAGCCCGACGAAAGAACGAGGAAGCCGUCCCCCGCCAUCAGAACCCCCCUUACCGGAAGCUAGCUUCCAAAGCAUGACCUCGGAUGGGUAGGGAUACCCGCUGAACUUAAGCAUAUCAAUAAGCGGAGGAAAAGAAACCAACAGGGAUUGCCUCAGUAACUGCGAGUGAAGCGGCAAAAGCUCAAAUUUGAAAUCUGGCCCGUCUCCGACGGCCCGAGUUGUAAUUUGGAGGGGCACUUUCGGAGCGGGCGCCGUCCCAAGUUCCUUGGAACAGGACGUCACAGAGGGUGAGAAUCCCGUGCCCGGGCGGCUGUCCCGCUCCAUGUGAGGUGUCUCCGACGAGUCGAGUUGUUUGGGAAUGCAGCUCAAAAUGGGUGGUAAAUUUCAUCUAAAGCUAAAUAUUGGCGAGAGACCGAUAGCGCACAAGUAGAGUGAUCGAAAGAUGAAAAGCACUUUGAAAAGAGAGUUAAAAGUACGUGAAAUUGUUGAAAGGGAAGCGCUUUGAGACCAGACUCGGCCGCCGGCGAUCAACGGUGCUUCUGCGCCGUGCACUCGACGGCGGCCGGGCCAGCAUCGGUUCCGGCGGCGGGAAAAAGGCCCGGGCAAUGUGGCUCCCCUCGGGGAGUGUUAUAGGCCCGGGCGUCAUGCCGCCAGCCGGGACCGAGGACCGCGCUUCGGCUAGGAUGCUGGCGUAAUGGUCUCAAGCGACCCGUCUUGAAACACGGACCCAAGGAGUCUAACAUCUAUGCGAGUGUUCGGGUGGAAAACCCUUGCGCCGUAAUGAAAGUGAACGGAGGUGGGAACCCCUCGGGGUGCACCAUCGACCGAUCCCGAUGUCUUCGGAGGGAUUUGAGUAGGAGCAUAGCUGUUGGGACCCGAAAGAUGGUGAACUAUGCCUGAAUAGAGUGAAGCCAGAGGAAACUCUGGUGGAGGCUCGCAGCGGUUCUGACGUGCAAAUCGAUCGUCAAAUUUGGGUAUAGGGGCGAAAGACUAAUCGAACCAUCUAGUAGCUGGUUCCUGC